UCCCUUGGUUUGGACCUCUAUACACUAUUGUAUCCCAAUAACUCUUAGGGUUGGUUUCUUUAUGUUAUCCCAUAAUUCUUGGAUAUUCUGUUCAUGAUUUCUUAACAUUUUCGCUGAGCUGUCUAUGUUCUUUUCAAGUUGAAAAACUUUGUCUUCGUUGUCUGAAGUUCUAUCUUCUAAGUGUUCUACUCUCCUGAUAAUACUGUCAUUUGAGUUUUUAAUUUGGUUUAUUGUUUCCUGCAUUUCCAGGAUUUCUGUUUGUUUGUUUUUUAUAUCAUCUAUCUCCCUAUAGAGUUGAUCUUUUGCUUCUUGGAUUUGUUUAUGUAAUUCAUUGUCAAAGUGAUUUUUCAUUGUCUUAAUUUGCUGUAUAAUGUCUUCCUUGAGACUCCAGAUCAUCUGAAGCAUGUAUAUGCUGAACUCUUCAUCUGACAUUCCAUCAGCUGCAGAUAUUACCUCAUCUAAUGUUGAAUUGACCUGUAUUGUUUGUGGUCCUUUCUUUCCUUGUCUUUUCAUACUGCUCAUGAUUCUUUCUAGCUUUUUGAAACUGUUGUGUUAAUGUUUCUCC
rnacentral:lncRNA from 1 species